rnacentral:rRNA from 1 species
AUUGCACGCUGGCGGCAGGCCUCACACAUGCAAGUCGCGCGGAGCGGCGGACGGGUGAGUAAUGUAUGGGAAACUGUCUGUUGGAGGGGGAUAACUAAUGGAAACGGGCGCUAAUACCGCAUACUAUCAGAUGAGCCUAGGUCGGCUUAGCUAGUUGGUGGGGUAAAGUCCUACCAAGGCAACGAUCCGUAACUGGUCUGAGAGGAUGAUCAGUCACACUGGAACUGAGAAACGGUCCAGAAUCCUACGGGAGGCAGCAGUGGGGAAUAUUGGACAAUGGGCGAAAGCCUGAUCCAGCCAUGCCGCGUGUGUGAAGAAGGCCUUCGGGUUGUAAAGCACUUUCAGCGGGGAGGCGUUACCCGCAGAAGAAGCACCGGCUAACUCCGUGCCAGCAGCCGCGGUAAUUC